rnacentral:lncRNA from 1 species
ACAACUUUGUUAUCAUUACAAGAAGCAGAUAUAGGACAAACAGAAGUAGAAGAACAAUUAACAGAGGGAGAAGAGGAAGAAGGAACCCAAGCUAGUUUAUACAGGCCAGCAGCUUCUCUACCAAGAUCCAGUGGCCUCCUCGGAGAAGGGUCCUGUAUCAUGUGUAGUAAGCAGGAAUGUUCAGUGAACAUAACUAUACAAUGCAACUGCUUCACUAACUUGUGAACAGAAAUCAAGUUGUG